AGGCCCGCCAAACCAACCUCUGGA
rnacentral:siRNA from 1 species